UCAAUCAGUUCAUCCUCACCCCUUAAGACUUAAAACCCUAACACAUUGCCUAUGAAUUCUUCUCCAUCUCCCGUCGGCCAAAUCCUCCCAAAGAUUCACCACACACUCCCCAUAAUCCCUCAAACACUAAAUCACAGUCAAUUUUCCCAAAAUCCCCUCCAUUGUUCUCUAAUUUCAGAUCUUAAAUGGAACCCUAGAUUCGUUCCCACCUUCGUUUCCUCAUGCAAAAGGUCUUGUUUUGAUUUUCUCUAAAAGCGUGGAAGGGAUUUCGACUUGAAACAAGUGUUAGACGGUUGUACUCACAAGAACAACCCAACUAACAUUCACUUUUGGUUCAAAUCAAAAUGUCAGGAGUCCGUUCAAGCCAUUUCUGCCCAUUUAUUCUAGAUAUUUCAGUGCUUUUCUCGUUUUGUUUUUGUUUAUUCUCCUUCUCAUCUACAUAUGCUUAUUUCCUUUUCUUUCUUGUUUUUCUUUCUAUUUUUGUAUGCAUGCUAGGUUUACAUUAUCUUUAGUCAGCACGUUUUCUUUUUUAUUUGAUUUUGUUGUUUAAAUUCGUUUGAAUUUCCAUCUAUUUAUUUCUUUGGAUUACUGGUUUCAGAAGCUUCUUAGAACUAUGUUGGCCUAGUUUAUGGACUGACCUCCUGUUGGUUUUUUGGAAUCAAAACCUUGGGUUUUUUCAUAGGAUAAAGGCCCAAAGAAAAUGGAGAGUUAUUCCUGUUUUGUGAGCCCAGGUUUGGGAUUGUUUGUUGGUUCAACUUGACCCAUAUCUUCUUCUAAAGGUAAAUAAGGAACGGUUAAAGGGUAGUUUAGGAAUUUCAAUUGAGGAAAUCUUGUUAUAACUACCUGGAAAUUUCUAGGAAGGUGGGAAUUAUGUUGUUUCAAUAAACAGGCUAAAAUACAAGGUCUAAAAUAAACAAAUUGGAAAUUGCAGAAGGGGUAAUGGUUAAAUUGCAUAAUCAUUUCUAUUGCCCUAGGAAGUCUCUAUAAAAGGCAUGUUCCUUUCUUCUCAAGAGAGAGGAUUCAGAGACGGAAAACACUAAAAAAACCUAGAAACGGCUGAAUUCUCGUUCAAACUCCAAAAUACAGAAAAUUGCUUAUAAUUUUGCCAUGUUUCUGGUUCUUUGAUUCCCUUUAGUUAGCUAGAAUUUCUAAAAGUUCCAAAAUCAUGCACCUGGGUUUUAAAAUGGUUUGAGUUGGUUUGAAAGUUUGGUUUGAUUUGCUACUCUGGCACUAUUCCAUUGUUGUUGUCUUGCUGCUGUUGCUUCUUCUUAAGCUCCAAGCCUACUUUCCUUGUUAAUUUGCUGUAACCAGGUACUCUUUUUGACCCUAUGAGUGCAUGAAGUGCACAUUUGAAGCUAUAUGAUCAACUUGAACUCCUAUGGAUGAGUGGAAUAUGCUUUAUGCUUGGCUUUGUUUAUUUUUUUUUUAAGAUCGUUCAUGCUUUCGUUUCCUUUAUUGAAUUAGUAUAUCAUGUGAUGUGUUAUGGUUAUGUUGUUGACAGCCUUUUUGGGAUUAUCCUUAGAGUUUAGUUUAGCUACUUUGACUUUAUUUAAAUUGAGCUACUUUUCAAUAUGCAUUUAAAUAGGUUGUUGCAUGUUGAUAUCUAAUCUGAAUGGCUAAAGCACUCUACUGUUAGGAUCAGUAAGUGUGUGAGUUCAACAUUGGUUAGCAGUAAUUCUUAUUCUUUUUAAAUACAUAUGGUUUGUGUGUUCCUUGAGCAUGAAGGAUUCUGUUUUGUAGUCUAGGUUUAAGUUAUAUGGUGAAUCUCUUAUUUGGUUUUGGCUGAAAUAAAUUAGUCUAAUGUGCUCAUAUGGUGUUCUGAUACAAGGUUUUUGGCAUGUUAAGGGAAAAAGUGCGCAACAUUAUGUUGUUUGAAGUAAGAGUUUAGGUCAUAUGAAGAAUCACUUUUAGCCUUCAUUUAAUUUUGUUCAAAUUGUUACGGCUUUCUAGAGUCAUGUAUUAGUUUGGCAUAAAUUAGUCAUGGAAUCGUGUUAGCAUUCUGUUUAAAAGUCAUGAAUUUUAUUAGAGUUCAAAUGAUAAGAUAGUUGGGUAUGGGUUAUUACAAUAUUCAUGACUACGUUUUCAUCAUGGAACUGAAUUGGCAUGGAAGAAAAUAUAUGUUUCGCCUUUGUCUCAUAAUUUCAAAGUCUUUGUGAAGAAUCAUAAUAUGACCCAACUGAUCGUCGUGAAUCAUAAUUGGGUCUUUAUCAUUAGUCUAGUUGUGUCCAAGUUCCCCUUGGUCGGUCUUGUAAUUGGGUCUUUAUCAUUAGUCUAGUUGUGUCCAAGUUCCCCUUGGUCGGUCUUGUUCUUGGUUAGGGCUUCACGUUGAGUUAGCUGCCUCAUGUGAUUGUCGUAAGGAGUUUUGCACAUGAUAAUUGGGUCGGUUACCAGUUUAGGCCCCAUUUAAUAACCAAAUGCCUGGUUUCAUUUGUUGUUAAUCCAUUAGUUAUUAAUUUUAGCUUAAAUAUUUGCUUUGAAUAAUUUCAAUCUUUUUUAGUCUUCUUUAAUUAAUUAGAUUAAGGUGUGCCAUCAAAAUUGAUGUAUGGCCUUCACAUGCUCUUAUUUUACAUUAGGAUAAAUAUUCGUAGAAAUGCCUUUAGGGCCAUUUAAAAUUCAAUUUUGAUUGUGUACACGUUCGCGUGAUAAGAUUACAAUUUUUAAUUAAAAAAAAAAAAGAGUAUGCGUUCGAUCAACUUCAGAUAAACUUUCUUAAUAAUAAUCAAGCGUUAUUAAUUGUGGAUACAUUCGCGUGACAUGACUUUUGACGCGCCGAAUAAAUUAUUACAUGUACGUGUGACCAGUAUGAUCAAAGUGAUUGUGCUCGAACCACGGAACUCGGGAGUGCCUAAUACCUUCUCCAGGGUUAACAGAAUUCCUUACCCGAAUUUCUGGUUUGCAGACUGUAAAACAGAGUCAAUUUUUUCCUCGAUUCGGGAUUUAAACCGGUACUUGGGAUACCAUUAAUUAUCCCAAGUGGCGACUCUAAAUAUUUAAUAAAUAAAUAAUCUCAUUUCGAUUGGCACUUUAAGUUGGAAAAAAUUUAUUUUACACCCUUCGCGGGGGUGUAGUGAAAAAAGGAGGUGUGACAUACUUGACUAUCAUACUUCGAGUGCUUUGUAUCUAGCGACUUUGUGCUACUAUUGCAUGUUAUUUCUUUUGCCAAUAGUUUGGCCUCACAUGUCUAUUAUUUGUGCACUUUAUUUAUAUGUUGAGAUUGCUUCUUUGAUUGAUUCUAAAUCUUGGGACUGAUUUCAACUUCUCUUUUGUGAACUCUAAAUUCACUCGCAUGUUAAAGUAAUUAAUCCAUUUCCUUAUUAUUGUGUUACUAAAUCUUUUCCCCAAAAACAAGUGUAUCUCUGUACUUGGACUCAAUUGUGUACUUAAUGUUUUACUGCUUCUUUUUAUGGUAAUUAUUAGUCUGCCUACAAACUGAUUUUAUUUCCCUCUUUUAAACAUGUCUGCCCCGUAAACAAGUGAUUCCUCGAUUAAAGGGGAAUCACUUGGUUGAUUGGUUCUGUUUGCUGAUUAUUGCCAUAUUUUCAUUGAACUUUAUUUAUUUCCUUAUUUCUCAUAUGUUUUCAAAAUUAUAAAUACCCACAUUCUCUUCUUUCAAACAUACGAACACAAGGCAUAAAACACUUGAGUUCAGACACACACUCCACUAAAAUCUCUCUCUUUUCAAUGUUGCUACAUGAAUUGCUGCCUUACCAAGCCGGAUGAAAGCCAAUGCUAGGCUGUGGGAAGCUUGCUUAGUUUUAUCUACAUUUGCAUCUUUACUAGUAAGUUCCAACUAAUUUUCAUCCUCAACAACAACAUGUUUCUUUACUGUUUCUUUCAUCCUCAUUUGUCUCAUGUUUGUAUUUAACCAAGUUUCAUUAUUAAGCAUGUUGUAAUAUGUCCUUUCUAUUCUGAAUUGAUAUUUUCUUAUGAAUUCUGCCAGUUACUUAUUAUGGUCUAUGAAUCCUAAACCCCCUACCCCCAAUGUGUUUUAUAUUUUUGGUUGGUUUGGGGCAUGAUGACACUGAACAAUGAUGUGCAUUACCCAAACCCGAUACCCUGGUCAUGACCUCCAUGUCUCCUCUAGAUGUUGUGUGUUCUGAUUGGUUUAUAGGCACCAUCUAUUAUUGUGCAUGCCCAAAGCUAAUCCAUGCCUAAGCAUAUAUGCUUUGCAAUGUCUUCCUAAAUCCAUGCCCCCUCCAUAUGAAACUAUUAAUUCAGUGCUUCACUAUUAUUUUUUUUCUUCACCACUCUUUACCCCUCUCAUAUCUCCCCUGAUAUUUUAAAACUAUAUUCCUGCACUUCCAUCAUAUUCUUAGACUUAAGUUCUGUCCCUCUUGUGUGAGCCUUGCCUUGGGACCCAUCAACUCAUUAUAAACUUGGACACAUAAGGGUUGGCCCUUCCACACUCCAUUCAUCUUUAUCUAGUUAAAUGAAGCUAGGUGAAAGCAUUGCCCAGAGUCUUUUCAAACCCUUAGGAAAAUCUGACUCACCCAGAUCUGAGAAAGGCUUUGAAAUCAAUAGCAAGGGCAAUGAUACUGUUCAUAGCAUAUCUCAGAUAGGAAGUCAAAUCAGGCUUUCCUAUGGUUCUGUCAUUCCUCUUUUGUAAUUCAAGCAUUUAGUCUGUAAUAAUUUGGGGUUUGGCUAGUGAAAAGGGCCGGGAAAUAUGCAUUUUAGAUAUUAAAAGGGUAGAAAGCAUGUUACUAGGAUUACAUUCCUACUUGCAAUAGAAUCCAUGCUUAGGACCCAUUUCAUGCAUUAGAAAUCAUGUUCCUUAGGAUUUACAAUUAUUGUUUUCAACAUGCCCAUUUUUUACUGUGACGUCACUUAGAAAUUCCUGUGUUAAAUGUAUUAAUAAUCAAAGUUUCUACAAUCAUGCUCCUACAGCCAUGCACACUUAGAGAUCAUGUUUAGGCUAAACAACACUAACAAAUAUAUAAUCUCUGCAGGUUUUAAGCGUUCUAAUAGUUGUGCAUAUAGAAAUCAUGUUUAGGAUUCUGCAUGUCCAUUCAUCUGUCUAUCUUCUCAACUAGAAAUCAUACCUAUAGGGGUUUAAAACCAACUCUAACAGAGAUCAUGCCUAUAGGAUCUAAAACCAGUUUAGUUAAAAAUCGGUUUGAGUCGUACUGCCUGAAUCAGCUUAAACAACCUACUCCUUUUAUCAACACGGUAUAGAAAGCAUAAGAUCCAAAUUGCAUAUUAAAUUAAUCAUUGUUUACAGCAUCACUCUAGAUAUUAUGCUCAUAGGAUGAUAGUACUAUGCCUAGGCAAGCCUUAGGUAAAUACUUAAAUAAAACUGGAACUACCUUUGUUUAGUUAGCAACUGCUUCCACCAGCAGGCAGGCCUAAUUUGGACUUCUUAUAUGUGGUAUCUGAUGAAUCUGGCUCUAGCUUAAAAUCCCCUAUUUUAGGGCUUCUAAAAUUUCAUACUUUAAUUCUAUUUGAGUCAUGCUAUUUGAUUGCUUUGUUUAAGGAGGUAUAUAUGAGCCUUCAGUGUUUUAUAUGCUCCCCCUUUAUUGUGUUGUCCUAUGUGUUUUGUACGUCACCCUAGAUUUUUUACUUUUGAAACUUCAAAAGUGAACCUAACAUCCCUCCCUUUUAGUAAUAGUAGUCCUAAGUGCCUCCGGGACUAAUAGGAAUGUGACGGGUAAUAGCAAGCAAUAGUGGUCGAGACCAAUCCGCGCUUUAAUACCUUAAAUGGGGUGGGAAUGGUAGAUAUGGAUAUGAUGAUCGGUGCACUAAUACCACAUGUAGCCCCUCUUUUGAGGAGUGAUUACCGAGGAUUGCAUUAAUGUGAUCCAUAUUAUAAAUAAACCUAGGGUAUCCCUCCCUUUCUUUCCUUUUCUUUUAAAGCGUUAUAAAUUCUGUUCAACAUCAGCCUUUAAUUGAUCUUUAAAACAUUAUUUUACUUUCAAACAAUUGUGUAUUAAAAUACUCUCUUAUUUGAACGUUAUCUGUUUACAUGUUAAUUGUAUCAAAUUCAAAAAGAACUAUUUGGCCGGGAACCACACUAGUGGAUCCUGAGGGGUGCCUAACACCUUUCCCAUAAGAUAAUUUCAAGCCCUUACCAUAUCUCUGGUUAUCAAAAAAACUUAUAAAUAAAUCUUGUAGGUGUCCUAACGCUCCAUCAAUCACUAGGUGGCUACUCUUCAAAAAUGCAAAACCUAGUUCCCAAAAGGAAUGAGUUGUCUUAUACCCAAAAUAUCAUUAACCCGAUUCUCCCGACAUGAGGAGGAAAAAAAGGGGUCGCGACAUAAUGGCGACUCUGCUGAGGAUAUUAGGCUUUUAACAUUUCAGAUUAUACUUGUUUAAAUUCAUUUUUCUAGCAUUUAAUUUCUUUUACAAGGCAAAACUAACUUAUCUUCUUCUUUACUUUUCUUUACUGCUGCCUUACUGUUAUAAACUAAUGUAUUUAUUGCUUUCUUAAAAUGCAAAUAUGUGAAAACAUGCUUUUUAAUUAUUGCAUAAUCAUGCUCAACAUCAUAUUCUACUCGUAUCAAACAAAUACCAUAGCAACGCUUAUAAUGAGUGGUUGCGCUCUUCCUAUAUUAUUACCCACUAAAUUCGGAAAGGCAUAUUUGCAGUAAAACUAGUUGAUCAACAGUGUAGUCGAAGGUUCCGUGCCUUCCCCCUUGAGUUGUCCGCUUAAGAGUAUCAAUCUAAAACCCCAUAGAAACCUUACUCUGCUUAAAAUGUGCAUCCAUUAUGGUCAAACCUAGCCAGAUCAGUUAUGUUGUCCACAUAAUGAUCAUUUAAUAUCCUUGUCCAAAGUACACUGGGUUUCCCUAAAACCCAAACGGCACUAUGUUUUGUGCAUUUAUUUGGAGACUAAAAUGCGUCACGCUAAUUGUUGAUGUUAAACAGUUGAGUCUGCUGGGGUAGGGUCUAACCCUUCUAUUAUGCAGAAAAUGAGGCAAGAGGUCCCCAUUUUCUGUAUGAUUAGCACACCCUACUCUUGCUAGACUAGUGGAGGAGUCUUCCAUCAAAUAACCAAAUCAAUGAGUGGAAAGAGAGGGCCACUAAAGCUAGCGGAAAGUUGGAAUAUCUGGGAUACAGUCUGCUGGAAUUAUAAGGAAAAAUAAGGAAGAGAGUCACCGACUGCCGGAACACUGCGGGAAACGAAGGAGAACACCUGGCGAAGGCAUUUUUACUAGUGAACCUAUGCGAACUGGAAGAUGUGAUCAACGAGAGCAUUCAAUCUUGGGGAGGUCCUUCUGGGAACAAGUAGUAGGAAUUUUCCUUUGCACUUUAUAAAAUGUUAUAAGGCUGGCCAUUAGUGAUUUCCAUUUCCUGUUUAUUUAGUGUCAAAUUGGGAUUCGCCUAUUUUGUCAAUAAAAUGAGGCAUUUAUCAUUCUAAAUUCUCCAAAUCAAUUUGUCGCUAGGCCUACCUAGGGCACAAUGAGACUACCAAAUUAGGACACGCUUAAUAUUCUUGUACCAUAUGUUUAAAUAUUGCAACAUCUUUUUAUGAUCCUCGCUAACUGGGUUACCUUUUUGUUUUGUUUUUGUUAUCCCCCUCCUCAUUAG
rnacentral:lncRNA from 1 species